CACACAGCUAUUUUCUCACAGCUGUAAUUACAGCUCACUGUCACACUAGCUGAACCAUCUCAUCUUGCUGGAGGAGAAAUAUUAGAUGAACCUAUACAGUGCCUAGUGCUUUUAUGCUCCACUUUUAUCCUCAUCCCUGAAGUUGUCUGACCUGUGGAAGUGCUGCUGAAACACUGCCGUAUUUCUUAAUGCAAGGUAAGCUGGAAACCUUGAUCAUUUCAGAAGAUGAAGCUAAGCACUAACCUGUUUAACAGUUUAAACUGCAUCAACUGAAGCUUCAAUGAUACAAUUUUGUGCAAUAGAAAAAGUUGCAGCAGUGCCACAGCUUCCUAAGCCUGUGAUUUCUACCUAACUCAAAAUGAAUGCAUGUACCAUUUCAGCAGGUGGUUUCAAGCACUUUCAGUAAAUGGAGGCAAUUUUGUGUUGCUAUUCUGUACCAUCAGCAAGUUUCAUAACAACUCCAUCCUGAAACUGCAGAAAAGAGCUACAGCACCAGAGUCUGUGCUACAGAUCAUUCAGAGUGUUGGUCUGGAUGCAUAUUGUGUCUACUCACUGAUACAGCAAGUGGAUCAGAAAUGCUAAUGAAACCUGGCUAACGAGACCUUUACCCGUAUGUCCUUGUCUGCAAAUGAACUGGAUUUCACCUGUUGGGACUGAGGUCCACAAGAACAAUUUUUAGCACAAUAAGCAUCUUUCAAAACUUUUCUGAAGCUUAUCUUAAUUAGGCUUUGUGGUUGUGUGAGAGGUAGAUUGUGUUUUUGCAGUGGAAAUUUCCAGUAUUUCUGUAUGUAGCAUAGGAUAAGUUACCUUUCACAAAGGAAGGUACUGAACAGAGUAAAGUUGAGACUGGGGCGUUCCGACCUAGGUAAAACUGGCACAGGCACUAGGUAAGGUAAUUACAUAGUGUAGGGGAGAGUCCAGUACAGAAUAGAACUAGUGUGCAGAUUGUUUAAAAUAUUGUCCUCCUAUCGCCAUAAAAAGUACAGAACAUACCCAAAGACAAUGGAUUGGUAACAGACAUUGUAUGGAAGUUUAAUGUAACUAUGGAAGGGUAACGUAGCUAUGGAAGCAUAAUGUAGCAAAGGAAGUGUAGCAUAGCUAUGGAAGUGUAAUGUAGCAACAGCGUUGGAAGACUGUAAGCCUGAGACACUCAACCAAUGAGUGCCAGGAGAGAUUCUACCUGCGUCGGACCCAGGGUAUAUAACAGAAUGGAUUUCACUGACUAGUUGCGCAAUUUCUCCUUUGUCAGUAGGGGGUGGGCGCCCAUUAUUGCAAUAAUGAUAAACUGCUUUUCACAGAGAUCUUUGCCUGAUAAGAAAUUUUUGAUCUUGAGUGCAUUUCUCACAGUCGCUACAGAAAACAACUCAAUCUGCUUACCUCAGGAGAGAAUCUUAUAUAUCUAACUAUAUAACUACUACAACUAUAAUCUCCAGUUCCACAUUCGCUAUUGGAGUGCAAACAGACAAUAACUUUCCUUAAAGUUUCAGGACUUGGAAAAAUACUGUGUCACUUCAGUUCCUGCUCUACAAAUGGUCAGGCUCAAAAAUGAAAGAUCAAAGUUUUCCACCAUGAAAUGCGAAGACCUCACACUGCUUUGCACCUGGCACAAAAGUACACACAUCAAAAUCUGGAGUUACUGAGUUUUGCCAGAUACCAUUUCAUGCUCAUUACCAAAGAACUCCAGGAUAUUCCAAUGCCUGCAGGAAAAUAUCAUGUUUUGGCUCCAGGUUCAGAAGAUGGGCUUUGUCACUGUUUUUUGUUUUGUUUUGUUUUUCUUUUUUAUUCUUUUUCUUUUUCUUCUUUCUCCUGCUUAUUUAGUGGAGAUGUGAAAAAUCUCUGAGCAUAUGGGGUUUUCAAAUUUAUCUUGAUAUAAUUCGUCAACACAGAACUGUUUUCUGACCCAGAUGGAAGCCAGAAAGGGUUAUGAACGUCAACAGAAAUCAGCUUUUGCAACUCAGUGUGGCACAAAAGCACCUGUUCUUUGCUGGCCAAGACACAGUUAAUAAACAUUACUAUUAGGAUCAAGAACUGUUGUCAAAACAGCGUAAUGAGAUUCAGAUAUUUGGUGAACUUUGUCACAUCCAUUCCAACUAAGAGGAUUCCAGAUACUCCAGUGCAACAUCAUAGCAGAAGCGAUACUGCUCCUUUAAGGGAGAAAGGGAAAAAAGUAAUAGAGAAAAAGUUAAAUUGAUGUUCUAAAUCAUUAAAGAGCGGCAAUGACUACAAACAAGAAUAGCCUUUUCUGACUACUAAACAAUUUUAAAUUCAAGACUGACACACUUGGGUUGGGUUCCUUUUUUUUCCACUUUUCACUUUUCUUCUUUCACCCCUCUAUUACACAAGUGUAUUACCAGCUCUGACUUAUAAACAAACCAUAACCAACGAAAUAUAAAGAAAUAAACCUGACCAUGAAAUGCAA